rnacentral:rRNA from 1 species
UACGAAGGGUGCAAGCGUUAAUCGGAAUUACUGGGCGUAAAGCGCGCGUAGGUGGUUCAGUAAGUUGGAAGUGAAAUCCCCGGGCUCAACCUGGGAACUGCAUCCAAAACUGCUGAGCUAGAGUACGGUAGAGGGUGGUGGAAUUUCCCGUGUAGCGGUGAAAUGCGUAGAUAUAGGAAGGAACACCAGUGGCGAAGGCGACCACCUGGACUGAUACUGACACUGAGGUGCGAAAGCGUGGGGAGCAAACAGG